AUGGUAGCAGGCUGUGUGUUAGUGUGCACUGAUUGUAACAGCUCCCCACGCUGUCUCAGGAGGCAGCGAAUGAGUCAGGUUCACAGACUCCCACAAAAGGAAGGAAUUCAUCAUUAGACUGAGUUCCGGAUCUUUCCACCUUCGCCUCAUGGGUUCAACAGUUUCAUACCACUUUUGAAAUGAUUAUAGAUGAUGGAGCUCACGGGUCACACCUGCAGCAUUUGGACAGUGAUUGCUAAUACCACAUUUUAAUAUGAAGUCUGUAGAUCCUGAGAAUGCAUGCUGUUGUCUGUGCAGGGACCACGAGAUAAGUCUGACUCAGUAUCAGAACAUAUGCGUUCCACACAGAAGGACAAGUCCACGUCCUUGGUCCUGCUCUCUACCUGACUCAGUAUCAGAACAUACACAUUCCACACAGAAGGACAAGUCCACGCCCUUGUCCUGCUCUCUACCUGCUCCUUUUACCUUUCACUCUGAGUGAGGCAGAAGGACGCUGUCAUCAGGUGCUGGCACCGCAG